CAGCCGCCGCGGGAAAACGAAGGGUGCAAGCGUUACUCGGAAUUACUGGGCGUAAAGCGUGCGUAGGUGGUGGUUUAAGUCCGUUGUGAAAGCCCUGGGCUCAACCUGGGAAUUGCAGUGGAUACUGGGUCACUAGAGUGUGUCAGAGGAUGGUGGAAUUCCCGGUGUAGCGGUGAAAUGCGUAGAGAUCGGGAGGAACAUCAGUGGCGAAGGCGGCCAUCUGGGACAACACUGACGCUGAGGCACGAAAGCGUGGGGAGCAAACAGGAUUAGAUACCCGCGUAGUCCCUGUCUCUUAUAC
rnacentral:rRNA from 1 species